AUUGAACGCUGGCGGUAUGCUUAACACAUGCAAGUCGAACGGUAACAGGCCUUCGGGCGCUGACGAGUGGCGGACGGGUGAGUAACGCGUAGGAAUCUGCCUCAUAGUGGGGGACAACGUGGGGAAACUCACGCUAAUACCGCAUACGCCCUACGGGGGAAAGCGGGGAUCUUCGGACCUCGCGCUAUGAGAUGAGCCUGCGUUAGAUUAGCUAGUUGGUAGGGUAAAGGCCUACCAAGGCGACGAUCUAUAGCUGGUCUGAGAGGACGAUCAGCCACACUGGGACUGAGACACGGCCCAGACUCCUACGGGAGGCAGCAGUGGGGGAAUAUUGGACAAUGGGCGCAAGCCUGAUCCAGCAAUACCGCGUGUGUGAAGAAGGCCCUAGGGUUGUAAAGCACUUUCAAUU
rnacentral:rRNA from 1 species